UAGGGAAUCUUCCGCAAUGGGCGAAAGCCUGACGGAGCAACGCCGCGUGAGUGAUGAAGGUCUUCGGAUCGUAAAACUCUGUUAUUAGGGAAGAAUAAAUGUGUAAGUAACUAUGCACGUCUUGACGGUACCUAAUCAGAAAGCCACGCCUAACUACGUGCCAGCAGCCGCGGUAAUACGUAGGUGGCAAGCGUUAUCCGGAAUUAUUGGGCGUAAAGCGCGCGUAGGCGGUUUUUUAAGUCUGAUGUGAAAGCCCACGGCUCAACCGUGGAGGGUCAUUGGAAACUGGAAAACUUGAGUGCAGAAGAGGAAAGUGGAAUUCCAUGUGUAGCGGUGAAAUGCGCAGAGAUAUGGAGGAACACCAGUGGCGAAGGCGACUUUCUGGUCUGUAACUGACGCUGAUGUGCGAAAGCGUGGGGAUCAAACAGG
rnacentral:rRNA from 1 species